AUUGAACGCUGGCGGCAGGCUUAACACAUGCAAGUCGAGCGGGGGAAGGUAGCUUGCUACCGGACCUAGCGGCGGACGGGUGAGUAAUGCUUAGGAAUCUGCCUAUUAGUGGGGGACAACAUCUCGAAAGGGAUGCUAAUACCGCAUACGUCCUACGGGAGAAAGCAGGGGAUCUUCGGACCUUGCGCUAAUAGAUGAGCCUAAGUCGGAUUAGCUAGUUGGUGGGGUAAAGGCCUACCAAGGCGACGAUCUGUAGCGGGUCUGAGAGGAUGUUCAGCCCAACUGGGACGGAGACACGGCCCAGACUCCUACGGGAGGCAGCAGUGGGGAAUAUUGGACAAUGGGGGGAACCCUGAUCCAGCCAUGCCGCGUGUGUGAAGAAGGCCUUAUGGUUGUAAAGCACUUUAAGCGAGGAGGAGGCUACUUUAGUUAAUACCUAGAGAUAGUGGACGUUACUCGCAGAAUAAGCACCGGCUAACUCUGUGCCAGCCGCCGCAGUAA
rnacentral:rRNA from 1 species